UACGGGGGGGGGCAAGCGUUUGUUCGGAAUUACUGGGCGUAAGGGUGCGUAGGCGGCUUUCUAAGUCGGAUGUGAAAACUCUGGGCUCAACCCAGAGCCUGCAUCUGAAACUGGAAAGCUAGGGUUCUGGAGGGGAAAGCGGAAUUCCUGGUGUAGCGGUGAAAUGCGUAGAUAUCGCUUGGAACGCCAACGGUGAAACAAGGUUGCUGGGGGUGUGGCUGACGCUGAGACACGAAAGCCAGGGGAGCGGAACGGG
rnacentral:rRNA from 1 species